UACAGAGGUCUCGAGCGUUAGGCGGAAUCACUGGGCUUAAAGCGUGUGUAGGUGGAUCGUUAAGUACCUUGUGAAAUCCCACGGCUUAACCGUGGAACUGCUUGGUAUACUGGCGGUCUUGAGCCACUUAGGGGCUACCGGAACAAAUGGUGGAGCGGUGAAAUGCGUAGAUAUCGGGAGGAACACCGGUGGCGAAGGCGGUUCUCUGGGCCGUUACCUGACGCUGAGGAGCGAAAGCGUGGGGAGCGAACAGG
rnacentral:rRNA from 1 species